rnacentral:rRNA from 1 species
AGCAGCCGCGGUAAUUCCAGCUCCAAUAGCGUAUAUUAAAGUUGUUGCAGUUAAAAAGCUCGUAGUUGAAUUUCGGGGUCAGCAGGUUGGUCGUGCCACUGGUAUGUACUGGCUUCGCUGAUUCCUCCCUCUUGUAGAACCGUAAUGCCAUUAAGUUGGUGUUGCGGGGAAACAGGACUGUUACUUUGAAAAAAUUAGAGUGUUUAAAGCAGGCUAACGCUUGAAUACAUUAGCAUGGAAUAAUGAAAUAGGACGAUCGAUCCUAUUUUGUUGGUUUCUAGGAUUGACGUAAUGAUUAAUAGGGAUAGUUGGGGGCAUUAGUAUUCAAUUGUCAGAGGUGAAAUUCUUGGAUUUAUUGAAGACUGACUACUGCGAAAGCAUUUGCCAAGGAUGUUUUCAUUAAUCAAGAACGAAAGUUAGGGGAUCGAAGACGAUCAGAUACCGUCGUAGUCUUAACCAUAAACUAUGCCGACUAGGGAUCGGAUGAUGUUAAUUUUUUAAUGACUCA